GCCAUGAGCUCCAGGCUCGUCUGCUGUGUGGCCCUGUGUCUCCUGGGGACAAGCCCAGUAGAUUCUGAAGUGACUCAAGUCCCAAAAUAUGUGGUCAAGCUAAGAAGACAGCCAGUGACCCUCAGGUGUUCCUAUGAAUCUGGACACCUCUCUGUAUUCUGGUACCAACAGAUUCUGGGCCAGGGUCCUGAAUUCUUGGCUGAGUACUUUGAUGGCCAAGUCAGAGAUAAGAAGACUCUCCCUGUGAGGUUCUCAGUCCAGCAGUUCAAGAACAACCAUAGCUCUGAGCUGACUUCAAGCUCCCUGGAGCUGGAGGACUCAGCCCUGUAUCUCUGUGCCAGCAGCUUAGCACAGCCCUGCACCAGAAGCAACUAA